rnacentral:rRNA from 1 species
AGAGUUUGAUCCUGGCUCAGGAUAAACGCUAGCGGCAGGCCUAACACAUGCAAGUCGAGGGGCAUCAGGGAAGUAGCUUGCUACUUUUGCUGGCGACCGGCGCACGGGUGCGUAACGCGUAUGCAACCUACCUUUAACAGGGGGAUAACACUGAGAAAUUGGUACUAAUACCCCAUAAUAUCAUAGAAGGCAUCUUUUAUGGUUGAAAAUUCCGAUGGUUAGAGAUGGGCAUGCGUUGUAUUAGCUAGUUGGUGGGGUAACGGCUCACCAAGGCGACGAUACAUAGGGGGACUGAGAGGUUAACCCCCCACACUGGUACUGAGACACGGACCAGACUCCUACGGGAGGCAGCAGUGAGGAAUAUUGGUCAAUGGACGCAAGUCUGAACCAGCCAUGCCGCGUGCAGGAUGACGGCUCUAUGAGUUGUAAACUGCUUUUGUACGAGGGUAAACGCAGAUACGUGUAUCUGUCUGAAAGUAUCGUACGAAUAAGGAUCGGCUAACUCCGUGCCAGCAGCCGCGGUAAUACGGAGGAUUCAAGCGUUAUCCGGAUUUAUUGGGUUUAAAGGGUGCGUAGGCGGUUUGAUAAGUUAGAGGUGAAAUUUCGGGGCUCAACCCUGAACGUGCCUCUAAUACUGUUGAGCUAGAGAGUAGUUGCGGUAGGCGGAAUGUAUGGUGUAGCGGUGAAAUGCUUAGAGAUCAUACAGAACACCGAUUGCGAAGGCAGCUUACCAAACUAUAUCUGACGUUGAGGCACGAAAGCGUGGGGAGCAAACAGGAUUAGAUACCCUGGUAGUCCACGCAGUAAACGAUGAUAACUCGUUGUCGGCGAUACACAGUCGGUGACUAAGCGAAAGCGAUAAGUUAUCCACCUGGGGAGUACGUUCGCAAGAAUGAAACUCAAAGGAAUUGACGGGGGCCCGCACAAGCGGAGGAACAUGUG